UACGGAGGGUGCAAACGUUGCUCGGAAUCAUUGGGCGUAAAGCGCACGUAGGCGGCCUGUUAAGUCGGGUGUGAAAUCCCUGGGCUCAACCCAGGAAGUGCACUCGAAACUGGCAGGCUUGAGUACUGAAGAGGGUCGCGGAAUUCCCGGUGUAGAGGUGAAAUUCGUAGAUAUCAGGAGGAACACCGGUGGCGAAGGCGGGUCUCUGGGCCGAUACUGACGCUGAGGAGCGAAAGCGUGGGGAGCGAACAGG
rnacentral:rRNA from 1 species